rnacentral:rRNA from 1 species
UACGGGGGGGGUAAGCGUUGUUCGGAAUUACUGGGCGUAAAGCGCGUGUAGGCGGUUUGGUAAGUCGGAUGUGAAAGCCCCGGGCUCAACCCGGGAAGUGCACUCGAUACUGCCAAGCUAGAGUAUCGGAGAGGUUGGUGGAAUUCUCGGUGUAGAGGUGAAAUUCGUAGAUAUCGAGAGGAACACCGGUGGCGAAGGCGGCCAACUGGACGAAUACUGACGCUGAGACUCGAAAGCGUGGGGAGCAAACAGG